AUUGAACGCUGGCGGCAGGCCUAGCACAUGCAAGUCGAACGGUAGCACAGAGAGCUUGCUCUUGGGUGACGAGUGGCGGACGGGUGAGUAAUGUCUGGGAAACUGCCCGAUGGAGGGGGAUAACUACUGGAAACGGUAGCUAAUACCGCAUAACGUCUUCGGACCAAAGUGGGGGACCUUCGGGCCUCACACCAUCGGAUGUGCACAGAUGGGAUUAGCUAGUAGGUGGGGUAAUGGCUCACCUAGGCGACGAUCCCUAGCUGGUCUGAGAGGAUGACCAGCCACACUGGAACUGAGACACGGUCCAGACUCCUACGGGAGGCAGCAGUGGGGAAUAUUGCACAAUGGGCGCAAGCCUGAUGCAGCCAUGCCGCGUGUAUGAAGAAGGCCUUCGGGUUGUAAAGUACUUUCAGCGGGGAGGAAGGCGGUAAGGUUAAUAACCUUGCCGAUUGACGUUACCCGCAGAAGAAGCACCGGCUAACUCCGUGCCAGCCGCCGCAGUAAGAC
rnacentral:rRNA from 1 species